rnacentral:rRNA from 1 species
UACGUAGGGUGCAAGCGUUAUCCGGAAUUAUUGGGCGUAAAGAGCUCGUAGGCGGUUUGUCGCGUCUGCUGUGAAAACCGGAGGCUCAACCUCCGGCCUGCAGUGGGUACGGGCAAACUAGAGUCCAGUAGGGGAGCGUGGAAUUCCAGGUGUAGCGGUGGAAUGCGUAGAUAUCUGGAAGAACACCGGUGGCGAAGGCGGCUCGCUGGGCCAGUUCUGACACUCAUCCGCGAAAGCGUGGGGAGCAAACAGG